rnacentral:rRNA from 1 species
CGCAGUCUGCAACUCGACUGCGUGAAGUCGGAAUCGCUAGUAAUCGCGAAUCAGAAUGUCGCGGUGAAUACGUUCCCGGGCCUUGUACACACCGCCCGUCACACCAUGGGAGUGGGUUGCACCAGAAGUAGCUAGUCUAACCUUCGGGAGGACGGUUACCACGGUGUGAUUCAUGACUGGGGUGAAGUCGUAACAAGGUAGCCGUAGGGGAACCUGCGGCUGGAUCACCUCCUUAA